rnacentral:rRNA from 1 species
GACGUAGGGCGCGAGCGUUGUCCGGAUUUAUUGGGCGUAAAGAGCUCGUAGGCGGCUUGUCGCGUCGACCGUGAAAACUUGGGGCUCAACCCCAAGCCUGCGGUCGAUACGGGCAGGCUCGAGUUCGGUAGGGGAGACUGGAAUUCCUGGUGUAGCGGUGGAAUGCGCAGAUAUCAGGAGGAACACCGAUGGCGAAGGCAGAUCUCUGGGCCGUAACUGACGCUGAGGAGCGAAAGCGUGGGGAGCGAACAGG